rnacentral:rRNA from 1 species
AAAACUUUCAACAACGGAUCUCUUGGUUCUGGCAUCGAUGAAGAACGCAGCGAAAUGCGAUAAGUAAUGUGAAUUGCAGAAUUCAGUGAAUCAUCGAAUCUUUGAACGCACAUUGCGCCCGCCAGCAUUCUGGCGGGCAUGCCUG